UUGACCUAUCCAUUAAAUGUGAACUUCUUGUUAAGUAUUUCGAGCGGCCGAAUCCGAAAAAAUCAUAGCAUUCUGAAUCUGGUUUUCUAAAGACCAAAAACAUUCAACAUAUCAUUUUAAAACUUGAAACAAUUAUAAAAUCUAAAUAGGUCAUCUUUCAAAAAUGGCUUUUUCAGUCCUAACGUUCAUUUUUUAUUCUCUUAUGUUUAUAGGCUUCUUAGCUUUUGUGUCGAACUUCGCAAUUUGUUUGAUUUUAUCACUUAAACAGAACAAACGACCUUCUGAAUACUUGGUGAUAUUCACUCUGUUCACAGAUUCCCUUUACGGGAUUUUCCUUAUAUGGCUAUCAUCGGCUAGUUUGUUCAUUCCUCGGUCAUUGUCUGAGCAGGGGUUUGUGAAUGGUUCGGUGUACUUUCCCUACCUGGGACUAUCAGCUGCCUCGCUGUGUCUUCAGGUUCUGGUCGCUAGUAACAGAUAUAUUGCAGUUAUGAGACCUUUUUCCUACAAAGUCAUCUUCACAAACUGCAACAUUAGCAUCUCAUUGGUUAUAAUUCUUAUAAUCAGCUCGACUUUUUCAUUGGUGGGUUUGCGAUUCUUCAAAGACAGGGAGGACUUGAACCGGUUUAACCUCUUCUGGUAUUCGUUUAGACUUGCGUUGGUUUUGAUCGAGGGGUCUUUGAGCAUUGCUCUGUACCAUGUAAUAUCACGGCAGUUCAAUGUAUCUUGUAUGCAAUUGGCUAUGGCACCGGUCAAGCACACGCUUUGCUUCAGAGUCCUAUCGAAGAAGACAAAACAGACAGACACGAAUGAUGCAAAUAUGAACAAAGACAAAAAUUUUGUUAUCGAGCGACCUACUACCAACAACAAUAUUGAAAGGAAAAAUCAGAAGAACCGCUUCAAAAUGACAGCCACAUUUCUAUUUGUGGGGAUCAUGUUCCUCGCCCUGUCAGUACCCAACUGUAUUUUGACUCUUCUAAUGGCCACACUGCCACCUACGGAAGGGAGAGCACUGUUCACCAUAAUGAUGGUCACAUUCUUACUCUAUGGGUGCACGUUUCUGCUUAACCCCUUCCUAUUUGCACAGAACAACUCAUAUCUGAAGAAACAAAUUCAGAUAAUUACUUCACGCCUGGCAUCUAAUUGUAGGAAGAUCAGAAACAGAAAAAACCACGACAGUGAAGUUGGUCCGAAUCUUUAGGUGGUAUGCAAGACAGAAGAAAAAAAAUUAGACGAAACUUUAAGUGUAAAAAUUAUUGUUUGAAAAAAACACAAAAAUAGAACAGACAAAACUAUCACAACUUUGAAGCGGAGAAGUUGAACGAAAACUCAAACAGAGGUGAAGAAAUAGACAACGACUCGAAGUUUUUAUCAGGUGAAAUGCGAGGAUAGAUAAAAGUUCAUUGUGAUGAUUCAGUUUUUAGAAAGUAAAUAAUAAAAACUAAUCUUUCAUAGCGUAUGUUCUACAC